UACAGAGGGUGCAAGCGUUGUUCGGAAUUAUUGGGCGUAAAGCGCGUGUAGGCGGCUUUGCAAGUCGGGUGUGAAAUCCCCCAGCUUAACUGGGGAAGUGCGCUCGAAACUGCAGAGCUCGAGUACCGGAGAGGAUGGCGGAAUUCCCCAAGUAGAGGUGAAAUUCGUAGAUAUGGGGAGGAACACCGAUGGCGAAGGCAGCCCCCUGGGUCGACACUGACGCUCAUGCACGAAAGCGUGGGGAGCAAACAGG
rnacentral:rRNA from 1 species